AUGGCCUCCUCCCUCCUCCGCUCCGGCCAGCGCCUCCUCCGCCACCACCGCGGCCGCCUCCCCGCGGCCUUCUCCACGGCGGCCGCCGAGGAGCUCAUCGACGUGCGCAAGCUGCCCACCGACUACGACCCCUCCACCUUCGACCCGACCGCGCCGCCGUCCCGCCCGCCGCCCUCCGACCGCGUCUGGCGCCUGGUCGACGACGUCUCCGCCCUCACCCUCGCAGAGGCCGCCGAGCUCUCCGCCCUCCUGCUCCGCCGCCUCGACAUCCCCUCCGCGCCGCCCAUCGCCAUCCUCAACUCCGCCGCGGGCCUCGGCGGCGGCGGCGCGGCGGCCGCCGGCGCGGCCGGCGACAAGCCGGCGGCCGCGGCCGAGAAGACGGUCUUCGAGCUGCGGCUCGACUCGUUCGACGCGGCGAGCAAGAUCAAGGUGAUCAAGGAGAUCCGGACGUUCACGGACCUCGGGCUCAAGGAGGCCAAGGAGCUGGUGGAGAAGGCCCCUGCCGUGAUCAAGGGAGGGUUGUCCAAGGAGGAGGCCGAGAAGAUCGUUGAGCGGAUGAAGGCCCUCGGCGCCAAGGUCGUCAUGGACUGA
rnacentral:rRNA from 1 species